GCGCAGCAGGCGAGAAAGCGCGACGAGGGGAUUCCAAGUGCAUGCACUAAGUGUAUGCUUUUCGUGAGUUUAAAACGCUCACGGAAUAAGGGCUGGGUAAGACUGGUGCCAGCCGCCGCGGUAAUACCAGCGGCCCUAGUGGUGAUCGUUAUUAUUGGGCCUAAAGCGUCCGUAGCCGGUCCGGUAAAUCUCUGGGUAAAUCGUUGGGCUUAACUCAGCGAAUUCUGGGGAGACUGCUGGACUUGGGACCGGGAGAGGUCGGAGGUACUCCAGGGGUAGGGGUGAAAUCCUGUAAUCCUUGGGGGACCACCGGUGGCGAAGGCGUCCGACCAGAACGGGUCCGACGGUAAGGGACGAAGCCCUGGGGCGCGAACCGGAUUAGAUACCCGUGUAGU
rnacentral:rRNA from 1 species